rnacentral:rRNA from 1 species
GCCAGACUCCUACGGGAGGCAGCAGUGGGGAAUAUUGCACAAUGGGGGAAACCCUGAUGCAGCGACGCCGCGUGAGUGAAGAAGUAUUUCGGUAUGUAAAGCUCUAUCAGCAGGGAAGAAAAUGACGGUACCUGAUUAAGAAGCCCCGGCUAACUACGUGCCAGCAGCCGCGGUAAUACGUAGGGGGCAAGCGUUAUCCGGAUUUACUGGGUGUAAAGGGAGCGUAGACGGUGAUGCAAGUCAGAAGUGAAAGCCCGGGGCUCAACUCCGGGACUGCUUUUGAAACUGUGUGACUGGAGUGCAGGAGAGGUAAGCGGAAUUCCUAGUGUAGCGGUGAAAUGCGUAGAUAUUAGGAGGAACACCGGUGGCGAAGGCGGCUUACUGGACUGUAACUGACGUUGAGGCUCGAAAGCGUGGGGAGCAAACAGGAUUAGAUACCCCAGUAAG